GAACGUAUGGCUUAGUUGGUCAGAGCGCUUGGACGGUUUCCAAGAGGCGUGGGUUCAAAUUCCUCUACGUUCG
rnacentral:tRNA from 1 species